GACGAACCGUGCGAACGUUAUUCGGAAUCACUGGGCUUAAAGCGCGUGUAGGCGGGCCGCCACGUCGGCUGCUGAAAUCCCCCGGCUCAACCGGGGAAGUGGCACCGAUACGAGCGGCCUCGAGGGGGGGUAGGGGGGGUCUGGAACUUCCGGUGGAGCGGUGAAAUGCGUUGAGAUCGGAAGGAACGCCCGUGGCGAAAGCGAGGCCCUGGACCCUUACUGACGCUGAGACGCGAAAGCCAGGGGAGCGAAGCGGGG
rnacentral:rRNA from 1 species